GAGUUUGAUCGUGGCUCAGAUUGAACGCUGGCGGCAUGCCUUACACAUGCAAGUCGAACGGCAGCACGGGAGCUUGCUCCUGGUGGCGAGUGGCGAACGGGUGAGUAAUGCAUCGGAACGUAUCCUGGAGUGGGGGAUAACGUAGCGAAAGUUACGCUAAUACCGCAUAUUCUGUGAGCAGGAAAGCGGGGGACCUUCGGGUCUCGCGCUCUUGGAGCGGCCGAUGUCGGAUUAGCUAGUUGGUGAGGUAAAGGCUCACCAAGGCGACGAUCCGUAGCAGGUCUGAGAGGAUGAUCUGCCACACUGGAACUGAGACACGGUCCAGACUCCUACGGGAGGCAGCAGUGGGGAAUUUUGGACAAUGGGGGCAACCCUGAUCCAGCCAUGCCGCGUGAGUGAAGAAGGCC
rnacentral:rRNA from 1 species